rnacentral:misc_RNA from 1 species
ACACCUCAACUCCUCAUGGUUUGCCAUGAUGAGCUUGGACAUUGGGGGUCUUGCUGGCCCUGUGGUUGGCUCCCCUCAAAUGGAUCAGCUUGCCAGUAUUUGGUGGCAUCACAGGUGUGAUAAAUAUCUACGCUUGUGGUUUCCGCCAUGUAACCUUCAGCGAUGAAGGUGUGCUGGAGCUCACAAUUGUCCCUCCUCAGUGAGGACGGCUUUCUGAAU